rnacentral:rRNA from 1 species
GAUGAACGCUAGCGGGAGGCCUAACACAUGCAAGCCGAGCGGUAGAGUUUCUUCGGAAACUUGAGAGCGGCGCACGGGUGCGUAACACGUGUGCAACCUACCUUUAUCUGGGGGAUAGCCUUUCGAAAGGAGGAUUAAUACCCCAUAAUAUAAUGAUUGGCAUCAAUUAUUAUUGAAAACUCCGGUGGAUAGAGAUGGGCACGCGCAAGAUUAGAUAGUUGGUGAGGUAACGGCUCACCAAGUCAAUGAUCUUUAGGGGUCCUGAGAGGGAGAUCCCCCACACUGGUACUGGGACACGGACCAGACUCCUACGGGAGGCAGCAGUGAGGAAUAUUGGACAAUGGGUGAGAGCCUGAUCCAGCCAUCCCGCGUGAAGGAUGACGGUCCUAUGGAUUGUAAACUUCUUUUGUACAGGGAGAAACCUACCCUCGUGAGGGUAGCUGAAGGUACUGUACGAAUAAGCACCGGCUAACUCCGUG